rnacentral:misc_RNA from 1 species
UUUCCGUAGGUGAACCUGCGGAAGGAUCAUUAUCGUAUAACCGAGGUGCGAGGGCUGUCGCUGACCCGAAAGGUCGUGCACGCCCGAGUGCCCUCACACACAUCCAUCUCACCCCUAUGUGCACCACCGCGUGGAUCCCCCUUUGGCUUGUUCGGAGGGGGGCUUACGUUUUCACACAAACUUUGUAUGCAGUGUAGAAUGUAUUUUUUGUUUUUGCGAUCACGCAAUCAAUACAACUUUCAACAACGGAUCUCUUGGCUCUC